AGAAGUGUUUAGUUAUGUUUCCAUGGGCCUACUCUGACUUAAAACUUAAAUAGGCUAGAUCUAGAUCUAACUCUUACUAGUUAUUAAGGGCCUAAAAUAUUUUAUUUUUUAUGCGACUAGAAAAUGUGUAUUUAAUUGCUUCGAAACAAUUAGAUCUAGAAUCUAGAAAUUAUUUUCAAAACUAGUAGGCCUAAGUCAAUUAAAUAUCAAACUUGAUGUAGGCCCAUUAAAAAAAAAUCUACCAGAAAAAUUUAAGAGAAAAAGAAAGAUCUGAUUUGUAGAUAUGAAGAAAUUGUACAAUGUAAUUUUAUAACUUGGCUGCUAGCUGUGUUAGUUUUAUUUGUUUGAUUAGACUACUUUU